AGUGAACGCUGGCGGUAGGCCUAACACAUGCAAGUCGAACGGCAGCACAGUAAGAGCUUGCUCUUACGGGUGGCGAGUGGCGGACGGGUGAGGAAUACAUCGGAAUCUACUUUUUCGUGGGUGAUAACGUAGGGAAACUUACGCUAAUACCGCAUACGACCUACGGGUGAAAGCAGGGGAUCUUCGGACCUUGCGCGAUUGAAUGAGCCGAUGUCGGAUUAGCUAGUUGGCGGGGUAAAGGCCCACCAAGGCGACGUUCCGUAGCUGGUCUGAGAGGAUGGUCGCCCACCCUGGACCUGAGACCCGGUCCAGCCCCCUACGGGAGGCACCAUAGGGGAUUAUUGGCCAAUGGGCGAAACCCUGCGCCACCCCUACGGCGUGGGUGAAGAAGGCCUCCGAGUUGUAAACCCCUUUUGUUGGGAAAGAAAAGCGGCAGAUUAACACCCCGCUGUUCUGCCGUUACCCAACGAAUAAGCACCGCCUACCUUCGU
rnacentral:rRNA from 1 species